GUGGGGAAUUUUGGACAAUGGGCGCAAGCCUGAUCCAGCAAUGCCGCGUGCAGGAAGAAGGCCUUCGGGUUGUAAACUGCUUUUGUACGGAACGAAACGGUCCUGGCUAAUACCCGGGGCUAAUGACGGUACCGUAAGAAUAAGCACCGGCUAACUACGUGCCAGCAGCCGCGGUAAUACGUAGGGUGCGAGCGUUAAUCGGAAUUACUGGGCGUAAAGCGUGCGCAGGCGGUGCUGUAAGACAGGCGUGAAAUCCCCGGGCUCAACCUGGGAACUGCCAUUGUGACUGCAAGGCUAGAGGGCGGCAGAGGGGGAUGGAAUUCCGCGUGUAGCAGUGAAAUGCGUAGAUAUGCGGAGGAACACCGAUGGCGAAGGCAAUCCCCUGGGCCUGCACUGACGCUCAUGCACGAAAGCGUGGGGAGCAAACAGGAUUAGAAACCCUGGUAGUCC
rnacentral:rRNA from 1 species